ensembl:miRNA Gm27445 predicted gene, 27445
AGCCAUCUCUUAAGCCCCAGAAGGUCCUGUUAAAGAAUCAUUAAUUGGGGGCUGGAGAGAUGGCUCAGCAGU